GAUGAACGCUGGCGGCGUGCCUAAUACAUGCAAGUCGAGCGAACAGAUGAGGAGCUUGCUCCUCUGACGUUAGCGGCGGACGGGUGAGUAACACGUGGAUAACCUACCUAUAAGACUGGGAUAACUACGGGAAACCGGAGCUAAUACCGGAUAAUAUAUUGAACCGCAUGGUUCAAUAGUGAAAGACGGUUUUGCUGUCACUUAUAGAUGGAUCCGCGCCGCAUUAGCUAGUUGGUAAGGUAACGGCUUACCAAGGCAACGAUGCGUAGCCGACCUGAGAGGGUGAUCGGCCACACUGGAACUGAGACACGGUCCAGACUCCUACGGGAGGCAGCAGUAGGGAAUCUUCCGCAAUGGGCGAAAGCCUGACGGAGCAACGCCGCGUGAGUGAUGAAGGUCUUCGGAUCGUAAAACUCUGUUAUUAGGGAAGAACAAAUGUGUAAGUAACUAUGCACGUCUUGACGGUACCUAAUCAGAAAGCCGCGGCUAACUACGUG
rnacentral:rRNA from 1 species